CGCACGGUGAUUUAGUGGUUAGCACAUUCGCCUCACACACCGCCAGGGUCGAGGGUUCAAUUCCCGCGGCUCUGUGUGA